rnacentral:misc_RNA from 1 species
AAAGUCGUAACAAGGUAACCGUAGGUGAACCUGCGGUUGGAUCAUUACAAAAUUGGUAUCUUACCAAAACACUGUGUGCACCAUAACUGUUCUUGGUAGCGUAUUGUGGAUGGGUCAUGUAAACUGGCCUUCUGGGCCUACUGACCCUUCUCGAUCGCUGCCGCAUGUCCAAACAUUGUAUUUCAAAAUUUUAGUCUGAAUCAGUUCACCACAAAGUGAAAUGAAAAACAACUUUUGACAACGGAUCUCUUGGCUCUC